rnacentral:rRNA from 1 species
UUGAACGCUGGCGGCAGGCCUAACACAUGCAAGUCGAGCGGUAACACAGAGAGCUUGCUCUCGGGUGACGAGCGGCGGACGGGUGAGUAAUGUCUGGGAAACUGCCUGAUGGAGGGGGAUAACUACUGGAAACGGUAGCUAAUACCGCAUAACGUCGCAAGACCAAAGUGGGGGACCUUCGGGCCUCAUGCCAUCAGAUGUGCCCAGAUGGGAUUAGCUAGUAGGUGGGGUAACGGCUCACCUAGGCGACGAUCCCUAGCUGGUCUGAGAGGAUGACCAGCCACACUGGAACUGAGACACGGUCCAGACUCCUACGGGAGGCAGCAGUGGGGAAUAUUGCACAAUGGGCGCAAGCCUGAUGCAGCCAUGCCGCGUGUGUGAAGAAGGCCUUCGGGUUGUAAAGCACUUUCAGCGGGGAGGAAGGCGGUGAGGUUAAUAACCUCAUCGAUUGACGUUACCCGCAGAAGAAGCACCGGCUAACUCCGUGCCAGCAGCCGCGGUAAUACGGAGGGUGCAAGCGUUAAUCGGAAUUACUGGGCGUAAAGCGCACGCAGGCGGUCUGUCAAGUCGGAUGUGAAAUCCCCGGGCUCAACCUGGGAACUGCAUUCGAAACUGGCAGGCUAGAGUCUUGUAGAGGGGGGUAGAAUUCCAGGUGUAGCGGUGAAAUGCGUAGAGAUCUGGAGGAAUACCGGUGGCGAAGGCGGCCCCCUGGACAAAGACUGACGCUCAGGUGCGAAAGCGUGGGGAGCAAACAGGAUUAGAUACCCUGGUAGUCCACGCCGUAAACGAUGUCGAUUUGGAGGUUGUGCCCUUGAGGCGUGGCUUCCGGAGCUAACGCGUUAAAUCGACCGCCUGGGGAGUACGGCCGCAAGGUUAAAACUCAGAUGAAUUGACGGGGGCCCGCACAAGCGGUGGAGCAUGUGGUUUAAUUCGAUGCAACGCGAAGAACCUUACCUGGUCUUGACAUCCACAGAACUUUCCAGAGAUGGAUUGGUGCCUUCGGGAACUGUGAGACAGGUGCUGCAUGGCUGUCGUCAGCUCGUGUUGUGAAAUGUUGGGUUAAGUCCCGCAACGAGCGCAACCCUUAUCCUUUGUUGCCAGCGGUUAGGCCGGGAACUCAAAGGAGACUGCCAGUGAUAAACUGGAGGAAGGUGGGGAUGACGUCAAGUCAUCAUGGCCCUUACGACCAGGGCUACACACGUGCUACAAUGGCAUAUACAAAGAGAAGCGACCUCGCGAGAGCAAGCGGACCUCAUAAAGUAUGUCGUAGUCCGGAUUGGAGUCUGCAACUCGACUCCAUGAAGUCGGAAUCGCUAGUAAUCGUAGAUCAGAAUGCUACGGUGAAUACGUUCCCGGGCCUUGUACACACCGCCCGUCACACCAUGGGAGUGGGUUGCAAAAGAAGUAGGUAGCUUAACCUUCGGGAGGGCGCUUACCACUUUGUGAUUCAUGACUGGGGUG